UAUCAGUGGGGAUAAAUGGAUUAGAAGAUGAUGCAUAGGAUUAAAUUAGUAGUUGUGUCAUUAGCUUUAAAAUUGAGGCAUCAGUAAUUUUGGGCAUGUUUGACAUGGUCUAGAGCUGUGUGGGCUGGGGGGUUUGGGAAUAGAUAUUUGUGUUGGUGGAGCUGGUAAAAUGCCUAUCCUGAAGUGUUUGUACAAAAUUUAAAGUUCACUUCAGUAUAGCUUUUAAUUGUGAAUUUGCACUUUAUUGGGAAAUGAGUAUGAAGCAGUGUUUAGUCAAAAAAAAAAAAAAAAAAGGACAUCUGGAUGCUUACUAAUAUAAAUAAGCAAAUAUUCCUGUAAUUUAAUAAAAAUGUGUAUUCAUUUUUUUAAUGUAUAGUUGAUAUCCUCACUUCCUUGAAAGAAAGAAAAAAGAAUUUGUAUUCAUAAAGAUCCAGGAUCUGUAUUCAUUUAAAUUUUAUUCAAAUGCUUAUAACCAGUUGUUACAAAAGUAGAAAUUGGUUGUUCUUACUGGCUUAUGUAGCAUUAUACAUGAACUUGUUGUAAUUUGUGAUUUUACUCAAUUUCUAGAGUGGCAUGAACAGUUUCAAGUAAUGGGAAUGCGACAUAUGCUGAAGAAAGAUUUCCUCGAGACAGGAAAUAAAAGAAAAGAGAUGCUUGAAGGCUGCCUCUGAAUAGAAGGAAAAUGUGUUUUGUAGAAAACAAGCAGGAACAAGUGCUUUUGGCUUAUUCAGGUAUGUAACUGAAAAGCUCAUAAACAUUUUCUGAUUCUAAGUAAAGUAACCAUGUUUACAGUUCAGAUUUUUUUGCAGUAUGAUAGUUACAAACAUAAUUGAUCAAUUGAUAUGGUAAGUCAUAGUCAUUUAAAAAGCACUUGUUCCCCAAGGCACAGUGUGAGCUGAUAGCUGUGCCUAACCUUGCUUAGCUUUCAAACCUACAAGGAGUUUUAAAUAAGUGUACACUAUUACUGAAAUACAACAAAAUGCUAGAUGUAAUACAAAA
rnacentral:lncRNA from 1 species